rnacentral:rRNA from 1 species
ACAUUGUGUCUUCGAGUCGUUGAUUUCACACUGCCGAGAAAAGCCUCUAGAUAGAAAAUAGGUGCCCGUACCGCAAACCGACACAGGUAGUCAAGAUGAGAAUUCUAAGGUGAGCGAGCGAACUCUCGUUAAGGAACUCGGCAAAAUGACCCCGUAACUUCGGGAGAAGGGGUGCUCUUUAGGGUUAACGCCCAGAAGAGCCGCAGUGAAUAGGCCCAAGCGACUGUUUAUCAAAAACACAGGUCUCUGCUAAACCGUAAGGUGAUGUAUAGGGGCUGACGCCUGCCCGGUGCUGGAAGGUUAAGAGGAGUGGUUAGCUUCUGCGAAGCUACGAAUCGAAGCCCCAGUAAACGGCGGCCGUAACUAUAACGGUCCUAAGGUAGCGAAAUUCCUUGUCGGGUAAGUUCCGACCCGCACGAAAGGCGUAACGAUUUGGGCACUGUCUCAACGAGAGACUCGGUGAAAUCAUAGUACCUGUGAAGAUGCAGGUUACCCGCGACAGGACGGAAAGACCCCGUGGAGCUUUACUGUAGCCUGAUAUUGAAAUUCGGCACAGCUUGUACAGGAUAGGUAGGAGCCUUUGAAACGUGAGCGCUAGCUUACGUGGAG